UGGGGAAUAUUGGACAAUGGGGGGAACCCUGAUCCAGCAAUGCCGCGUGUGUGAAGAAGGCCUGAGGGUUGUAAAGCACUUUCAGUGGGGAGGAGGAUUGGCAGGUUAAGAGCUGGUCAAUUGGACGUUACCCACAGAAGAAGCACCGGCUAACUCCGUGCCAGCAGCCGCGGUAAUACGGAGGGUGCAAGCGUUAAUCGGAAUUACUGGGCGUAAAGGGUGCGUAGGUGGUUUGAUAAGUUAGUUGUGAAAGCCCUGGGCUCAACCUGGGAAGGCCAACUAAGACUGUUGAACUGGAGUAUGGGAGAGGGUAGUGGAAUUUCCGGUGUAGCGGUGAAAUGCGUAGAGAUCGGAAGGAACACCAGUGGCGAAGGCGGCUACCUGGCCUGAUACUGACACUGAAGCACGAAAGCGUGGGGAGCAAACAGGAUUAGAUACCCCCGUAGUCC
rnacentral:rRNA from 1 species